rnacentral:rRNA from 1 species
GAUCCUGGCUCAGGAUGAACGCUAGCGACAGGCUUAACACAUGCAAGUCGGAGGGGCAGCAUGAUUUGUAGCAAUACAGAUUGAUGGCGACCGGCGCACGGGUGAGUAACGCGUAUGCAACUUACCUAUCAGAGGGGGAUAGCCCGGCGAAAGUCGGAUUAAUACCCCAUAAAACAGGGGUCCCGCAUGGGGAAUAUUUGUUAAAGAUUCAUCGCUGAUAGAUAGGCAGUG